AACGAACGCUGGCGGUAUGCCUAACACAUGCAAGUCGAACGAGACCUUCGGGUCUAGUGGCGCACGGGUGCGUAACGCGUGGGAACCUGCCCUUAGGUUCGGAAUAACUCCCCGAAAGGGGUGCUAAUACCGGAUAAUGUCUUCGGACCAAAGAUUUAUCGCCUUUGGAUGGGCCCGCGUUGGAUUAGCUAGUUGGUAGGGUAAAAGCCUACCAAGGCGACGAUCCAUAGCUGGUCUGAGAGGAUGAUCAGCCACACUGGGACUGAGACACGGCCCAGACUCCUACGGGAGGCAGCAGUGGGGAAUAUUGGACAAGGGGCGAAAGCCUGAUCCAGCAAUGCCGCGUGAGUGAUGAAGGCCUUAGGGUUGUAAAGCUCUUUUACCCGGGAUGAUAAUGACAGUACCGGGAGAAUAAGCUCCGGCUAACUCCGUG
rnacentral:rRNA from 1 species